UACAGGGGGUGCAAACGUUGCUCGGAAUCAUUGGGCGUAAAGCGCACGUAGGCGGUUAUUUAAGUCGGAUGUGAAAGCCCUUGGCUCAACCGAGGAAGUGCAUCCGAAACUGAAUAGCUGGAGUACGAAAGAGGGUCGCGGAAUUCCCGGUGUAGAGGUGAAAUUCGUAGAUAUCGGGAGGAACACCGGUGGCGAAGGCGGCGACCUGGGUCGAUACUGACGCUGAGGAGCGAAAGUGUGGGGAGCGAACAGG
rnacentral:rRNA from 1 species